CACGCAACCUACACAAAAUUCAGUUGUCUGCUAACUCAGUUAUCUGCUAGCAGAUAACUGAAUUUUGUGUAGGUUGCGUG